AUUAUGGCUCAGGAUGAACGCUAGCGGCAGGCUUAACACAUGCAAGUCGAGGGGCAUCGGGAGUAGCAAUACUGCCGGCGACCGGCGCAAGGGUGCGUAACGCGUGAGCAACAUGCCCGUAUCAGGGGGAUAAUCCAUGGAAACGUGGUCUAAUACCCCAUAGUAAUUAUGUAAGGCAUCUUAUAUAAUUUAAAGCUUUGGUGGAUACGGAUUGGCUCGCGUGACAUUAGCUAGAUGGUAAGGUAACGGCUUACCAUGGCUACGAUGUCUAGGGGUUCUGAGAGGAAGGUCCCCCACACUGGAACUGAGACACGGUCCAGACUCCUACGGGAGGCAGCAGUGAGGAAUAUUGGACAAUGGAUGGAAAUCUGAUCCAGCCAUGCCGCGUGCAAGGAAGACGGCCCUAUGGGUUGUAAACUGCUUUUGUAUGGGAGCAAUAAGGGCUACGCGUAGUCCGAUGAGAGUACCAUACGAAUAAGCACCGGCUAACUCCGUGCCAGCCGCAGC
rnacentral:rRNA from 1 species